ensembl:snRNA U6 U6 spliceosomal RNA
GUGCUCACUUCGGUAGCCCAUAUACUAAGAUUGGGAUAAUACAAAGAUUAGCGUGGCCUCUGUGCAAGCAUGGCACACAGAUCUGUUAAGUGUUCCAUGUUUGU